rnacentral:rRNA from 1 species
AUACGUAGGGUGCGAGCGUUAAUCGGAAUUACUGGGCGUAAAGCGUGCGCAGGUGGUUUUGUAAGUCAGAUGUGAAAUCCCCGGGCUUAACCUGGGAACUGCGUUUGAAACUGCAAGGCUAGAGUGUGGCAGAGGGGGGUGGAAUUCCGCGUGUAGCAGUGAAAUGCGUAGAGAUGUGGAGGAACACCGAUGGCGAAGGCAGCCCCCUGGGUCAGCACUGACGCUCAGGCACGAAAGCAUGGGGAGCAAACAGGAUUAGAAACCCCGGUAGUCC